AUUGAACGCUGGCGGCAGGCCUAACACAUGCAAGUCGAACGGUAACAGGAAGCAGCUUGCUGCUUUGCUGACGAGUGGCGGACGGGUGAGUAAUGUCUGGGAAACUGCCCGAUGGAGAGGGAUAACUACUGGAAACGGUAGCUAAUACCGCAUAACGUCGCAAGACCAAAGAGGGGGACCUUAGGGCCUCUUGCCAUCGGAUGUGCCCAGAUGGGAUUAGCUAGUAGGUGGGGUAACGGCUCACCUAGGCGACGAUCCUUAGCUGGUCUGAGAGGAUGACCAGCCACACUGGAACUGAGACACGGUCCAGACUCCUACGGGAGGCAGCAGUGGGGAAUAUUGCACAAUGGGCGCAAGCCUGAUGCAGCCAUGCCGCGUGUAUGAAGAAGGCCUUCGGGUUGUAAAGUACUUUCAGCGGGGAGGAAGGGAGUAAAGUUAAUACCUUUGCUCAUUGACGUUACCCGCAGAAGAAGCACCGGCUAACUCCGUG
rnacentral:rRNA from 1 species